rnacentral:sRNA from 1 species
AUAUGACAGCUGCUGGCUGCAACAUGUCCUCUCACUGAUCACUAGGGUUGAUUUGGCUAAUCUGGUUGACUAGGCAGGAGUCUCCUUCCUCCCUUACUACGAUGUGCACCCUUCCCAAAGCGGGGUGCUCCAUCAGAGAAGAUGACUUUCCCUGAUAGAAUAGGACAAUUUCCCC